CCUACGGGGUGCUGCAGUGGGGAAUAUUGCACAAUGGGGGAAACCCUGAUGCAGCGACGCCGCGUGAGUGAAGAAGUAAUUCGGUAUGUAAAGCUCUAUCAGCAGGGAAGAAAAUGACGGUACCUGAGUAAGAAGCCCCGGCUAACUACGUGCCAGCAGCCGCGGUAAUACGUAGGGGGCGACCGUUAUCCGGCUUUAAUGGGUGUAGAGGGAGCGGAGACGGCAGUGCAAGUAUGGAGGUAAAGGCGGGGGCUCAACCCCCGGACUGCUUUGGAAACUGUACGGCUGGAGUGCAGGAGAGGUAAGUGGAAGUCCUAGUGUAGCGGUGAAAUGCGUAGAUAUUAGGAGGAACACCAGUGGCGAAGGCGGCUUACUGGACUGUAACUGACGUUGAGGCUCGAAAGCGUGGGGAGCAAACAGGAUUAGAUACCCGGGUAGUC
rnacentral:rRNA from 1 species